CCUAAAUCUAUCCAACAUAUUCUCUCGAUAUAUAUUAGACCUACUCUUGCACACCACCAGCCUAUAUCUCUAUGGAUGAUGCAAAUAUACAAGAAUGCAUGUGGUUUUGUGAACAAUUAGAUAAUUGAGAUGGGAGGAAAACCCACCUGCCUUAUUUCUUGUUGGACCGGUCCAAUGCCCUUGACCCAACAUGUUUUUCUCAUCUAUCCUUUGGGCCAUUAAUGAAGUGUCCCUCUAAUAUUCCAUCUAGAAUCUUUGGUAGCGGCGCAGCCAAGGUUUCAAACCAUUGUAGAUAUUCCCUCACCGAACCUUCUUGUCGGAGAGCUAAGAACCUCUCCUCGCUAGUCCCACCAUGGGUUGCUCGAAAACGAUUCAGCACUAGACCUCUCAAUUCUUCCCAGUUCGUCACCUUCUUACGUCUCUGUUGCCAUUGAUACCAUGAGAGAGCUUCUCCUUCAAAGCAAAUAGCGGCGGCCUCCAUCUUUUCUGCUUCAGAAAUCCGAGUGAGGUUAAAAUAUCAUUCAACCUUGAACACCAACCCUUCUGGAUUCUCCCCUUCAAAUACCGGAAUCUCCAAUCUCCUAUUCCUACAAUCCAGUCGCCACAGUCCUCCAGUUUGCUCUACAUCCCCGGGUGUUAUUGUUGAGUUUCCAAUGAAUUCUGAAUCAGGGACCUCCUCUGGGCCUUUUGCUUUCCAUUCCCUUUCUCGAUCAUCCCAGCGAUGCAUCACAAGUUUAAACUGCUCCAUCAUCAGACUCAUGUUCUUCUCUAUACUAUGGAUCCAUUGCAUUUCAGACUUCAUUACUUCCAUCCCAGCCUGAAUAGUUUCCAUUCUUCCCUCCAAUUCGCCUACACGAUCAGUGAGCGUCAUUCCAGGAACUUGCUCUGAUACCAAAAUGAUGGAACCUUGUUGCCAAAGAAGACUAACGAGCAGAAAUCAAGGAAAUUAAGCAGCUAAAAUAAGUAAUUCACAUAAAUCAGCUAGGCCAACUCAAUAUGAUUUACUGUAUUGAAAUAAAUUCUGAAUUAACAUCAACAGCAGAUGACUCUCCAAUACAAUUAGAACUAACUAAAAUGAAAUGAUAAUAAAGAAACGGAUAGAUGGACUUUCGAGAGGUCCAGACUCUCUCCAAAUUUUCCC
rnacentral:lncRNA from 1 species